rnacentral:sRNA from 1 species
UAUAAAAUUUGCUACAUAUGUAUAAUUAUUUUAAUCUAUAUAUACAUUUUUGCAGCCACUUUGUGAAAUAAAUCCUCAAGUUGGGACUUAUUUACAGUGGCUGCCACUGACAUUUAAUAAUUAUUUUUGAUAAUUAGAAAGUAAAUCUUCGAAUUAAAUAUUUGACAUUUAACUAUCUUCCCGAAAUCUCUCCAUAUUAACUACACAAUUAGUUACUAAAAUAAAACUUCCAAAAUAUUUAAUAUCAUUUAAACACUACAAAAUUAUCAUUUUUGAUAUUGCUUUUUUCAUGACUAUAACAAUUCGAUUAUAAGCAUCAAACCGCAGAAAUAUUUGAUAGCAGUUAAUUACUACAAAAUUACAAAAUAUUUAUACAAUGAUUUAUAAAUAUAUCAUAAAUAAAAUCAACAUUAAUAAAAUAAAUAGGUUUCUUUUACGGGACGGGUUUGGCAGGACGUUACUUAAUAACAAUUGUAAACUUUAAAAUAAAAAUAUUUUAUAUAUAGAUACAAUUUGCAAAUUUUUAUAUAUAUUAAAAAAUUAAUUAUCCCCGCGGUGUACCGCGGAUUAAAAUCUAGUGUGACAUAAAAUAGAACUGAAGCAAACCUAAAGAG